UGAGCAGAGUUCAGAGGGACACCAUAAGUUUGUGAGUAUACCACUAAGCUGCUCGGGCUCAAAAGAAAGAAGACAAAGAACAGCUGCUGCUGACUCCUUUAAACUGUCAGGAGGACGUCUCAUAACACUGGCUGGCCACUCAAGCUGGAGGUAGGAGUUGAAAGGGGCGGAGAGUGGAAAUAUGACUGAAAGUGCAGUGAAUGUGGUAUAUCUUGAGAUGGACCUUGAACGAGGUGAAACGAGAAUUCUGCAACGGAAUAAUGGUUUCCUUAAAUGGAAGCGUGAAAUGAUGAAGCAGAAAAUGGAGUGGUUGUUCAGAAGAAUCCUGUCUAUCUGAGAUAAAGAUUAUUAAUUUACUUCUGGCACCUGCAUGUCAAUCAUCCCACAGAGAAAAAAAACAACUAUCAACAGGAAAGUCUACCAAGAAUUUCACGUCACAAAUCACAUAAGUUCAAAGGGGAAAUUAAUAAAUCAAUUUAUAUGGAAGGUUUUUGGAUCCCUUAAUGGAAAAAAAAGUCCUUUCCAAUUGAGCUUUUAUAUUUGAGCUUUUUCAUAAAUCAAUCAUAGGACAGUCUCUGAAAACCAGUUAAAAGGUGUCAUGGAAGAUGGAAUUAAAUACUGUAGCUACAAAAUACAUUCUGAUAGGAGUUCAACUGCAAGCUCGAGUGGACUAAUUGCUAUAAGUAGUGUAAAAUUGAAGCCAUAUCACAGAAGAGCAGAUCAGUAUUUCUAAAAAUCAUAGAAUGAAUGUUUUUUUAUUCAAAUAUUGCUUGUGUAACCUAGAGCAGAUAAGAUGUGAGCGAGUGAGUGAGUGAGUGAAGAAAGUGUAGCCGUUUCUUUCCCUAUCAAAGAAUAGUCAGCAGGGUUUUGAUCUUUUAUAAUUAGAAAUAUUUUAUUUAAGACUUUGUGGGUAUUUAAAAUGAUCUGUGAGCUUGAUUCAGAAUGUUAUAUAAGAUAGGCAAGAACUGGAAAUAACUUGGGAGAAAGUUGGCAACCAGUAUAAGUAACAGCAAUCACAGAAGACAAGGGGUUCUUUACACUGGCGAUAAGACGGACAGACAUAAUACCAUCACAUUUAUUAUCAUGAUUCGCUUGCGGCAUUGAUCUCUAAAUUCUUCUUUAACCAUUGGCGAGAGAGCCUUCAGCCACUCUGCCCCCAACCUCUGGAAUUCCAUCC